rnacentral:rRNA from 2 species
CGCCCGUCGCUACUACCGAUUGGAUGGUUUAGUGAGGCCCUCGGAUCGGCCCCGCCGGGGUCGGCCCACGGCCCUGGCGGAGCGCUGAGAAGACGGUCGAACUUGACUAUCUAGAGGAAGUAAAAGUCGUAACAA